GAUGAACGCUGGCGGCGUGCUUAACACAUGCAAGUCGAACGGAAAGGCUCCUGCUUGCAGGGGUACUCGAGUGGCGAACGGGUGAGUAACACGUGGGUGAUCUGCCCUGCACUUCGGGAUAAGCCUUGGAAACUGGGGCUAAUACCGGAUAGGACGAUGGGUUGGAUGCCAUUGUGGAAAGAUUUUCGGUGUGGGAUGAGCUCGCGGCCUAUCAGCUUGUUGGUGGGGUAAUGGCCUACCAAGGCGUCGACGGGUAGCCGGCCUGAGAGGGUGUACGGCCUCAUUGGGACUGAGGUACGGCCCAGACUCCAACGGGAGGCAGCAGUGGGGAAUAUUGCACAAUGGGCGCAAGCCUGAUGCAGCGACGCCGCGUGGGGGAUGACGGCCUUCGGGUUGUAAACUACUUUCGCUAGAGACGAAGCGCAAGUGACGGUACCUGGAGAAGAAGCACCGGCUAACUACGUG
rnacentral:rRNA from 1 species